rnacentral:rRNA from 1 species
CCUACGGGAGGCAGCAGUGGGGAAUAUUGCACAAUGGGGGAAACCCUGAUGCAGCGACGCCGCGUGAGUGAAGAAGUAUUUCGGUAUGUAAAGCUCUAUCAGCAGGGAAGAAGAAAGACGGUACCUGACUAAGAAGCCCCGGCUAACUACGUGCCAGCAGCCGCGGUAAUCCGCAGGGGGCAAGCGUUAUCCGGAUUUACUGGGUGUAAAGGGAGCGUAGACGGCUGUGCAAGUCUGAAGUGAAAGCCCAGGGCUCAACCCUGGGACUGCUUUGGAAACUGUGGAGCUAGAGUGCUGGAGAGGUAAGUGGAAUUCCUAGUGUAGCGGUGAAAUGCGUAGAUAUUAGGAGGAACACCAGUGGCGAAGGCGGCUUACUGGACAGUAACUGACGUUGAGGCUCGAAAGCGUGGGGAGCAAACAGGAUUAGAUACCCGAGUAGUC